UUUACAGCUAUAGAAAAGUUAUUAAAAAGAAAAAAUCAUGAAGAAAAGAAACAGAAAGUAGAUCAUGGAAUCUGUCUGAUCUUCUUUUCCUAUGUAAUCAAGAAAGCCUGGACAGAGAAUUAUUAGUGAGUCUUUGUCUCUGCUCUGAGCCGCCUGAUGCCACAACUAUGACUGCACUGGGUGAGACCUGAAGCAAACACAGCAUUAGGUCUAAUUCAAGGCCUUCUGUAACCACUCCUUGGCUGCUGCCUAUGUUUACUCAAGGCCCUGGAGCUUACAAUCAGCAAGUGGGAAUGCAAGUCACACCUGUUUUAUUCUCUUCAAGGUGGUGAGGUCUCUCAACCUUCAGAUGGGUUCAGAGGUGCUGUCCAGGAUUCAGGGUCUUGCAAAGAGAUACGUAAAUAGAAUGCUCCACAAUAUGUGAAGAUAUUAGUGUCCCUUGUGAAUGCUCAACAAAGACUGACAUGAGCAGAGGAGGAUUUGAAUUAUCAGGAUGGGCCGCAAAGGAGAUUCUUCCAAGAUUUCAGAAGUUGGAAGGGAAGCAGAAUCCAUUUGAUAACACAAACACAUUGUUGCUUAUCUGUUGACUCAACUUGGGAUGAAGAAGCAGUUGAGCCAGUUGUGUGUGUAGAGCUCAAGGACAAAGGUCCUUAGCUUCUGCAGAAUACUAUCAUCACCAAGCUCACAGGCUUCUAGAGCAGACAUGUGCUUCAGUCCAUUCUGUGGGCUUCCAGCUUCUACUCUUGGAGUUCCAUCCUUUUUUAUGAUAUUACCUUUCUAACUGCAUAUGCUGUGGACUUCAAGCACUUGAAUCAGAUGUAGAGACAUUAUAUGGACUGCUUGAGUAGCCCCCACAACUGUGUAAGCCAAAUCCCUGUAACAAGUAUUUAUCCGUCCAUCCAUUCAUCUGUCUGUCUAUCUAUGAAUCUAUUGAUCUAUCUAGCUAUAUUAGUCCAUUCUUGCACUCUAUAAAGCACUACACAAGACUGGAUAAUUUAUAAAGAAAAGAGGUUUAAUUGACUCAUAGGUCCACAGGAUGUAUAGAAGGCAUGGCUGGGGAAGCCUCAGGAAAUGUACAGUCAUAGCUGAAGGUGAAGAAGAAGCAAGACAUGUCUUCACAAGGCCAACAGGAGAGAGACAGUGAGUGAAAGGGGAAGUGCUACACACUUUCAAACAGACCUCAUGAGAACUCUGUCAUGAGACUGCACUAGGGGGAUGGUGCUAAACCAUUAGAAACCAGCCCCAUGAUUCAGUCACCCCCCACCAUGCCCUACCUCCAACAAUUGGGAUCACAAUACAACAUGAGAUUUUGGUAGGAACACAGACAAACCAUAUCACUAUGUAUCUAUCUUUCACUGGUUCUACUUCUCAGGCUGGACACUGACUGAUAUAGGAGUUAUUCUGAAGCCAGGCCCUUUCCUCUGUGUACUGUCCUUUUUUUGUUCUGGGCCUGCCUUCACCCCCUCAUUUCCCCAGUGACCAUAGCCAGUAGGUGUAUUAAACAUGGUUUCAAAAAUUGCCUAUAUUUUAUGAUGCUUUGACCUUUUGGGGCCUUGAUGGAUGAGGAGAGACUUCCCUUCCCAGGGCUAGCUAAUUCCUAGAGAUAGAAAACAACUGCCAUCUGAGCACACCUGUCAUAUGCAAACAAACCAACCCAGAGCCCAUGCCUGCUAACUAUCUAAUUUAUUGAGUCACUAUCCUCCUGUCUUAGUAUUAUCCCAGGACCAGGCACUAGGCAACCAGGGGUAGUACCUACAGCUCUGAGCCUACUGACAUUGUUUAAACUACUCAAUCCUAAGUUACUUCCCUUGAACUGCCUUGUCUUUGUCAUGGAAGCCACAACAUAGUCCUGUACCUGUGCUUUCCCCUGGCUGCUUCUGCCUCCUAAUAGAACCUCGUGCUUCCUCAUGUGGCUCUGUGAGGAGCAUCGUCCCCUCUUUUCUUGGGAAUUGUAAGUAAUAAAUUCCUCUUGCCAAGGUGGUUUUCUCUGUCUGUCAUCUUACCAUGCCUGAUUAAGACAAAUCCUGGGUAAAUUUUAAAACAAUAGGAAAAAAUUGUCAUUAAAAUGGAAAAUAAUCCACACAGACAGGAGAUCUUUAUGACACUCAAAUGAUACCGUCUACUAGGGUGAUACUGUCUACUAGGCAUAGUUUGUUAACUAAUUUUCUAGUCACGUAUGAAGAGAAUGACUUACCUGGUAAUUUCUUUAAUCAGCUAAUCAGAGGUGAUCCUCCACCAGAAAUGUGAAUGCUUGAGGGAAAAAUUGAAAUGAACAUAAAUCCUUAGAACUAUAUUUUUGAGAGAGGUAAAAAAUUAUGGUUAUAUGAGUAUUUCCAAAGAUAGCAAUUAAGUUGCAAAAAUCAUAUUGAAAAUGAUGAUAUUCAAACAAGUACUUAACCCUUACAUGUUUUGGUCUCCAUGGCUAUAGUGGCAGAACUUGUACCCCAUUGUUGUAUUGAUGAUGUCAUCUGACGUGUAACAGGCAUUGGAAGAGUUGUCCUUAUGGGUUUAGUGUUUAUUCAGCUCAGUGUGGAGAAAAAAAUGUUUUUUUAGGAAACUGUGCUUAUUUUCUUUCCUCUCACAAUUGGAUAAUAAAACCAAGUUUUACAAUUCAGAGAAGAAUGACUUAUUUCUCGAAAUCUAGAUUCGGAAUACUUCAUCUUCAACUGUGUUUAUACAAAGUAUUUCCUUUAUGUAAUCUGAUAUGCACACUGGAAAAGAAUUAAAUACUGUCAACCAAGAUGGAGAAAAUCAAUGUACAUUUGGAACAACGACAUUUUUGCAGUCAAUGGAAGGACGCCAGUACUUAGACCAUGUUCAACUCAAGCAGAAAUAUUCAGAGGAAGCUGGUAUCAUUAAGGGACUAAGAGAAAUGGGAAAAUUGGAUAUAGUGUGGAAAAGAAAUCUAGGUGAAAUGGCAAUGCUACAGACAAUCCAACUUUUAGGAGAGUCUCCAGGUUAUGAAAAUAUGAGGCUGUCUUUGGAGAUAAUCCCAGAUUCUGUAACUAGAAGAGCCUUUUCACAUUACCUGCAAAACAACAAACUGCAGUGAUAGGAAAAUGAAAUUGAUUUUGAAUAUGUGUGAUACAGAUUCUAUUCAUUGUUAUGGAAGUUCACGAAGGUAUCUUGGAAAGCUGCCUUCAUGUUCAUCUCUCUGCUUUACCUAAACACUACUAUUUUUAAAACCAGGCCUGCAAAGUGUCUCUGAGAUACAGCUAACAGACAAAUUACUACAGAAAACAUAUGACUAUGAUAAUGUUGCAAAUGUCUGUGUAAUACCUUCCAAUGUUAAAAUGAAAAGCUGAAGUUAUGCUUUCUAGGAAAUUUUACAGAAAAUCUUUUCAUACUUUUGUCAGCAGCAAAAUGAUCAACUAAGAGCAAGUACAAAGGCUAAUUAUUUUAAUUUACUUCCUUUGAGAUUUUGAGUGCCUUUGAAAAUUAAACAUUUGCUGAUUUUUAAAAAAUCUGAUAAUUUUCAUGUUAUGUGAAGUACUUUCUAAUUCCUUAUAUAAUUUAUUGUCUAUUUCCUAAUUUUUAUAACUUUGUUAAUAUUAUUACGGAUAGUCAUUGGAUUUUUUUCCUUUUAGAAUGAUUAUAACUGCUUUUCAUAAAUGCAUACAGCAUUUGACCCUUCCUGUUUCAGUGAAGCGGUAAUAGAAAACAUAACAUAUUAGUCUACGGCCAUACAACCCUGAAGAUGCCCAAUCUUGUCUGAUCUCAGAAGCUAAGCAGGGUCAGGCCUGGUUAGUAUUUGGAGGGGAGAAAAUAUAAAAUAUCAGACAUAUUUUGAUAAUUUAAUUUAAAUAAUUACUAUAGUUUAUUUGAUAAGAUUUCAACAUGAUCUUGUUUAGUUAUUUUCCCCUCCCCUCUCAGUCAACAGUUAACUAUGGCAGUGCUUCAUAUAAUCGAGGAUGGCCUUUAUUAUUUAAACUUGCUGACAUUUUCUACCUUGGAAAAAACGUGACCUUUUCUAAUGGCAUUCUAUAUUAUUGGGGCUGGAGAAUUGCAUUUAUGCAACACACUGACCUGGCUUCUUCACAUUUACUUCUUUGGUAAAAUUCUAUGAACUGAGGAGUUGGUUUAUUUUCAUCAGUUGUUAUUUUUGCAGGGACCCUUAUGAAAACUACUUGAAUCACACAGUUGGUUCUUAAAAAUUAGCAUAAUGCAUACUUUUACUUUUAUUCAAAGCUAGGAAUCAGACUUAUUUAAAAAAAACUAAAAACUUGCCGCUUUCUUUCCUAAGGUAAAUUUAGUAGGUUCAUACAUGUUGGUAUAAGGUCUGAAACUCUAAACCACAAUGGUUACCUAAACAGCAAGUGGAAGAACAAGGAUUUGCUCUCAUCUCUGUCUGUCACAAAGUUCUGAGGUCCUAAUCAUAAAUAAAACUGCAUCUGAAGAAGUGUGUAAUGGAGUUGUUUUACUGCUUUCUUUAAACAAGUUAUUCUUCAAUCCUUCAUUCACAAAUUAAUUUUUCUUUAGAAAAAUUAAGCCAUUUUAGAUAUCAGCUAAUUACUGACUUUUGAGCAUGCAAGAUUUAUCAUCUUCAAUGAUAUGUUUUCCUUAAGCUUCUGCCCUUUCACAUUGCUUUUCUUUUAAAA
rnacentral:lncRNA from 10 species